GACGGAGGGUGCUAGCGUUGUUCGGAAUUACUGGGCGUAAAGGGCGCGUAGGCGGCCCUGUCAGUCGGGUGUGAAAGCCCGGGGCUCAACCCCGGAACGGCACCCGAGACGGCAGGGCUGGAGACCGGGAGAGGAGGGUGGAAUAGCCAGUGUAGAGGUGAAAUUCGUAGAUAUUGGCUGGAACACCGGUGGCGAAAGCGGCUCUCUGGCCCGGUUCUGACGCUGAGGCGCGGAAGCGUGGGGAGCAAACAGG
rnacentral:rRNA from 1 species